UACGUAGGUGGCAAGCGUUAUCCGGAUUUAUUGGGCGUAAAGGGAACGCAGGCGGUCUUUUAAGUCUGAUGUGAAAGCCUUCGGCUUAACCGGAGUAGUGCAUUGGAGACUGGGAGACUUGAGUGCAGGAGAGGAGAGUGGAACUCCAUGUGUAGCGGUGAAAUGCGUAGAUAUAUGGAAGAACACCAGUGGCGAAAGCGGCUCUCUGGUCUGUAACUGACGCUGAGGUUCGAAAGCGUGGGUAGCAAACAGG
rnacentral:rRNA from 1 species